CCGAACACUUUGUUUUGCUUGAUGAAGAGCAGGAAGGGCAGCCUGGAGAGAAAGAGAAGCCGGGUUGAGCCCACUACCAUCAUCCACGUACCACGAGGAAGAUGAGGGAGAGAAAUGAUCCUACCAUUAAAGAGACUGUGAAAAGAGCGUUGAGAACAUCACCACUCUACAGGAAGACACAGUCCAGUAAUGGGUGUCAGAAGAAACAAACAAUCCAAAUUACCUGCAGAACGCCCUUGAUGGAGG